GACCGCGUAGCUCAGUUGGCAGAGCAAUGGACUAGUAUUCCAAAGGUCGUAGGUUCGAAUCCCACCGUGGCCA
rnacentral:tRNA from 1 species